CACAACAAUGUGAAUGUACUUAAUGCCACCGAACUGUGCGCUUUAAAAUGGUUAAGAUGGUAAACUUUAUGCUAUGUGUGUUUUACCACAAAUAAAAUUUAGAAAAUAAAAAAAACCCUAAGGCUCUGAUGGAAACACUAGGAAUCAAAUUCUGACUCUGCCAUUUACCAGAAUGUGGGGGAUCCUGGCCAAGUUAACCUCCCUAAGUCUCCGUGUCCCCAUCUGUGGAACGAGGAUAAGAUUGUACUCUCCUCUUGGGGGCAUUACAGGGUUCACUGGAGAUUGUGAGUGUAAACUGUGGGCACAGCGCCUGCCAGGCACGUUGUCAGUACUCAGGAAGCGUGGUUAUUGUCUUGCCUGCAGGUUUCACAUAUGCUCGGCUCAGGGAAGCAGACAUUCCCAUGGACACACUUAGGGCAUUUGGCUUAACAGCAAGGUUAGAAGGACACUGACAAAGAAGAAUGACGGGGGACCCCGGGUGGUGACCCUGCCUGGGUCUUCCUGCUUGUGAGUCAGCAUCCUCCCCACCGACAGCCAACAGUCCUCAGGGUCCUCCCAGCAACUUUGCUGUAUCUAGAGAAAGCUCUUCUUCUUUUCCUUUUGUGAGGAAGACUGUCUCUAACUAAUACAGCUAACAUCUGUGCCAAUCUUCCUCCACUUCGUAUGUGGGACGCCACCAGAGCGUGGCUUGAUGAGUGGUGUGUAGGACCACGCUGGGGAUCAGAACCCGUGAACUCCAGGCAGAAGUGGAGACUGAGAACUUAACCACGACACCACUGUGCCACCCAGAGAACGCUCGUCUUAACCGACUCCCAGAGGGACUCUUCUCCUUAAACGUAAAACUGCCGCUAUUCCCAUUUAGACUCCUUGGGAGAGUUGAUAAUUGUUGUUGACAGCAAUAAGAGUUCAUUUUCCUUUGUUUUGAUUAAACAAUGAUUUGAAUGGAAAGUGCUUCCUGGAGCAGUAAUUAAUGACUGGCUGGAGGUGAAGCCAAAGGCACUUAACCCAGCUAGUAAAUAGCUACCAGGAAACGUUAGACCUGGAGGGUAAAGUCACUGCCGGUACAAACUUGGAAACUGGUAGGAAGAAAAGGAGAAAAAAAAAAACCUAAGCAAUUUCUUUUUUAUGCAAUGAAAAGUUUAAAAAUGGAGCGCUGUGUUGCCAUAGCCACCAUUCCUGGCUCUGGGGGGCUCCAGGCUCUCCUCCACGCUGCCUCAGCCGCAUGGCAAUUAGACACGGUUUCCAGCAGGCCAGCUGUGCCUCCCAAGUACCUAUAAUGAAUAUUUGCAGCUCCAGGCUCCCGCGGAAAUCCUCAAGCCUUCACUUGUCACCGUCAUUUCCUUGGGAAGUGUUUCUAAUUACACAGUGCUUGCUGCCUGCUCCAGGUCGAGUCUUCUGGUAUACAACAUACGAAUUACAUAAAACCGCAAAACAGUCAGGGGACCCUGGCUGGGUCCAAAUUGCUAUGUAGUUGUUUUUAACUUCGCAGUUAAGCCAUACUGGGUGUAACAGGGCGUCAUUUGCAUGAGCGAAAACAACAGUAAAGGAACAGCACGUGCCUCAGUCUUUAUAACUCUCUGUAGAGGUCAGAGCCCGCUUCAGCAAGACAGCCAUAUAAUAAUAGAAUUUCCAGCUCUAACACACGGACUGUUUAUUUUAACUGUUAUAGCAGGGGUUUUGUGAUGAGAGACUUCAUUUUGUAUUGUCACCUGGGACCUGCCAUUUAGGGAACUUCUGGCUGUUUAGUUUCCUGGAGGUGGAAACAUCACUACCUUUGCACUCUCUUAGUUUAGGUAACUCUCCAAGAUGUAAGGCAACGCUCACCAACUAUUCUUAGAGAAAAUGAAGUCAAGUUAAAUCUAAAUCCAGAUGCUGCUGUUUGGAUGUUAAGUUUUCUUUGGAGUUGAGUAAACUGGGGGAGUCUUCAGCUCUUGAAGAAGAGGCAAAAAUAAUUUUCUGUAAGGAUGGGUUUCUCUGUACUGGGGAACCCCCGCCCCACAGGAGGCGUCUGUGUCCAUCAGCCUGCUCACCCGCCUGGUGUUAUGGAAGAUCCAGCACCCGCGGGACCGAGAGGUGAUGCCUAUCUGAUCAUCUUGUGGGGCGAGAGGAGCUGUGCUCAGUUGAGCCCCGAGGCAGCGCCCACUGGGGAGGGACGGUUCUGGCUCCUGCUUGCAGUGAAGCUGAUGCAAGAACCUGUCCUGCCCCCAUUCCCUAAGGAAUUUCAGCAGGAAGGUGCAGCCGCAGCAAGAAAUGCCAUUUGCUCCAGGCUUCCUUCUGCCCACUGGCUCCUCCUCCGCAUCUCUAAGCCCUGAGUGCCCAGGGCUCAGUCGGGACCUCUUCUCUCUGUCUACGCUUGGUUCGAAGAAGAGAAUGCUCUCGCCUUCGUCUGGACCUGUAAGCCUUGCUUCAGAGGCUACCUUCUCACAGACCCUCCCAGAUCCCCACUGCAUGGGCACUGAGAGUUUGCACCUGUCUCAUAAGGUGCUUUUUAACAGAUUCCUGUUGCACUACAUUGUUGCAAGUUUCCUAGCACCUAUAGAAUUUCCCAGGAGUACAUGCUAAAUGAUUUGGGCAAAUGACUUUCAGACGACUGGGGCUCAGCCUAGCGAAAGAACCCUGCAGUGCACUGAGAAGCGUCUUCAGACUUCAAGGAGAUUAUUUAAAUUUGCCUAAAGCUCUCAAAGUGCUCCUUGAAAGUUCUGCUAAACAAAGAACCAAACCAAGAAAAACCUCUAGGGAAUAAAUGUUGCUAAAAUGGUAGUAAGAUGCAUUUGUAUGAGCAGGAAUUUGAAUAUUAAAUGUUGAAAAGAAAGACAUUUAUUAAUUGGAGAUAAACUCCUGACAACCACUUGAAAUGUAAAUGUGGGACAUGAUCAUAAUGCAGAGAUAUUAAGUUCUCCCUUAGAAAAGUAUUUUUAAAACUUCAUUAGAAAAACAAAACAAAACUUAAUUAGGUUGUAUUUGCCAAAGGUUGCCCAGUCCUCGUGGAGAAGACAGGGCAUCUUUCACGAUACCCAGUGAGCUGGCGCUUGUUGCCCAUGGGUUAUGAGGAGGUCUGUGAUGAGACCUGGAUUAAAAGUGGACACUGGUGUGGCAGAGCUUCAUCUCUAGAGCUCAAAGGCAUGGAUUGUGCUCCUGUUUGCUCUCAGACCAGUUCCCUGCCUCUCCCCAGCUCCCGUCUGCUAUUUCAGGGAACCACACCUUGCAGAGUCCUUGCCCUUUGGCUUGAUGUAGCUUCCAUUUGGCCAAUGGAAGUGCCAGGAUGAUUGGAGUGGGAAGGGGAGAAGCCAUGGCCCUUUUCUCCCUCCCUCUACGUUGGGUGGUGUCUUUGGUUACAGCUUUUUCUCCUCUUUGGCACUGAUGCCUGCCAGUUGAUGCAGCGUCCUCGGCUCCAUUAACGUCCUCUGCUCCCUUUGCCCUCCCAGCCGUGGUAGCUUCCAGCUGUUGCUAAUCUCUGUUUGGCUUCUCUGCUCUUUCAUCACUUAUAUAAUGAAUUCCCUUUAUUAAAUUCCCUCCAAACUACUCAAAUUGGUUUCUGCUUUUUUCACUAAACUCUGGCAAUACAACUGGUUAUAAUUUAGGAUCUUGCUGGGAAAUGCACCCCAGCUCAAAGGAACAUACAUGAGGGAUGGAAAAGGGACACAUUUCAAAGAUACAUUGCACCAUCAGAUAUUUUGUUGCAAAGGCUGUGGGUAAUAGGCAGGGGCUGCAUAAACUGGGGCCUGUUUAUGCACAGAAAUUUUGAAAGAAUUUCAAGCCUGUGUCAAAAGAAAAACAAAAAUUGGUUUUCUUAAUAAUCCACGCUUGACGGC